AUUGAACGCUGGCGGCAUGCUUUACACAUGCAAGUCGAACGGUAACAGCACUUCGGUGGCUGACGAGUGGCGAACGGGUGAGUAAUACAUCGGAACGUGCCUAGUAGUGGGGGAUAACUACUCGAAAGAGUAGCUAAUACCGCAUGAGAUCUAAGGAUGAAAGCAGGGGACCUUCGGGCCUUGCGCUACUAGAGCGGCUGAUGGCAGAUUAGGUAGUUGGUGGGAUAAAAGCUUACCAAGCCGACGAUCUGUAGCUGGUCUGAGAGGACGACCAGCCACACUGGGACUGAGACACGGCCCAGACUCCUACGGGAGGCAGCAGUGGGGAAUUUUGGACGAUGGGCGCAAGCCUGAUCCAGCAAUGCCGCGUGCAGGAUGAAGGCCUUCGGGUUGUAAACUGCUUUUGUACGGAACGAAAAGCCCUCUUCUAAUACAGGAGGGUCAUGAUGGUACCGUAAGAAUAAGCACCGGCUAACUACGUG
rnacentral:rRNA from 1 species